GGGUUUUGUGCCCAAUGUAUGUUUAUGUGCUGAUUGUUGGGGGCUAGGACUAGUGUUUAUGCCCUAUAUGCUUGUGGGAGAGUGUAUGCAUGAUUGGGAGAGGGCAAGUGAGAUUAUGGGUUGUUUUAAUGGUUUUGGCUUAUGUGGGUCAUAAACUAUUUAUGUACGCUUUUUGGUGUUGUUUUUGGAGUUUAAUCUAGUUGUUAAGCUCCUUUAUGCAUGGUUAAGGGUUUAUGCAUGUUUUUGAGAAGUUGAAUGCAUGUUUAGGAUGUUUGGAGACUUAUUUGUGCAUGAGGCUGAGUU
rnacentral:lncRNA from 1 species